rnacentral:rRNA from 1 species
CACGUAGGGCGCAAGCGUUGUCCGGAAUUAUUGGGCGUAAAGAGCUCGUAGGCGGUCUGUUGCGUCCGCUGUGAAAACUCGGGGCUUAACCCCGAGCCUGCAGUGGAUACGGGCAGACUAGAGGUAGGUAGGGGAGAAUGGAAUUCCCGGUGUAGCGGUGAAAUGCGCAGAUAUUAGGAGGAACACCGGUGGCGAAGGCGCCACUCUGGGCCGAAAACUGACGCUGAGGAGCGAAAGCAUGGGUAGCAAACAGG